AUAUCAGUAAGUGGAGGAAAAGAAACUAACAAGGAUUGCCCCAGUAGCGGCGAGUGAACAGGCAAAAGCUCAAAAUGAAAAUCCGUGGCACAGAGUUACGGAAUUGUAAUCUAGAGAGGUGUUCGGAAGGCAUGGACUUCGCAUAAGUUCCUUGGAACAGGGCGUCAUAGAGGGUGAGAACCCCGUUGUCGGCGAAGUCUCGGCUGUACGAGCGCUUUCAAAGAGUCGGGUUGUUUGGGAUUGCAGCCCUAAAUGGGAGAUAAACUUCUUCUAAAGCUAAAUAUUUAUGGGAGACCGAUAGCGCACAAGUA
rnacentral:rRNA from 1 species